rnacentral:rRNA from 1 species
AUACGGAGGGUCCGAGCGUUAUCCGGAUUUAUUGGGUUUAAAGGGAGCGUAGGUGGGAUAUUAAGUCAGCUGUGAAAGUUUGGGGCUCAACCUUAAAAUUGCAGUUGAUACUGGUUUCCUUGAGUACGGUACAGGUGGGCGGAAUUCGUGGUGUAGCGGUGAAAUGCUUAGAUAUCACGAAGAACUCCGAUCGCGAAGGCAGCUCACCGGGCCGGAACUGACACUGAUGCUCGAAAGUGCGGGUAUCAAACAGGAUUAGAUACCCUGGUAGUCCGCACAGUAAACGAUGAAUACUCGCUGUUUGCGAUACACUGUAAGCGGCCAAGCGAAAGCGUUAAGUAUUCCACCUGGGGAGUACGCCGGCAACGGUGAAACUCAAAUGAAUUGACGGGG